CCCGACUUCCUAAACCCAAAACCAAAUCUACAGCCACCUCGUCAACAUCGUCGCCAACCAGUCUACAGUCGCUGCCCUUCACAAAACACCACCAUAAAUGGCAAACUCUUCUUUAACAGCAUCAAACUAUACUCUACGCAUCAUCGAAAAAUUUGAAGAUACGAGGUUGUCAGGUUGAUGAAUUUAUGGAAAGCAAAUUAAUUGCAGCUCUCUGUCCAUGUGUUUUUUGCUUCAUUCCUUCACUCAUAAUAGUCACUAUUGUGCUUAUUGUGAAAUGUAUUUUUCCAUACCCCUCUUAACUCUGUCCUCUUCAAAAUAUCUUGCAAUUAGCCCCACUUUGAUAGCUGAAAUUUCUCUCCAGUGACCCAAUCCUAGUAUUUCGUUGUAUUUCUUGAGUAAAUUUAGAUUCCUAUUGCCGAGUCCCCAGAAGCCCUUCACAUGAUUAACCUUAAAAAAAUUAAAAUUAAAUUAAAUUUGAUACCAACAAUAAAUCUGAACUAAAUUGAAAUUUAAUCCCAGAAGCCCAAACAACGAACACAUACAUGAACUUAACUGAAAUUUAAAACAAAGAAAUUAUAAAUUCAAACCUGUACAAUGAGGGCGUUCCGCAUUCGGUCGUUCAGGAGCUUCGG
rnacentral:lncRNA from 1 species